rnacentral:rRNA from 1 species
UGGGGAAUAUUGGUCAAUGGGCGAAAGCCUGAACCAGCAACGCCGCGUGAAGGAAGAAGGUUUUCGGAUUGUAAACUUCUGUUGCAAGGGAAGAAGAAUGACUGUACCUUGCGAGAAAGCCCCGGCAAACUAUGUGCCAGCAGCCGCGGUAAUACAUAGGGGGCAAGCGUUGUCCGGAAUGACUGGGCGUAAAGGGUGCGUAGGCGGUAGUGUAAGUUGUAUGUGAAAUCCCUGGGCUUAACUCAGGAACUGCAUACAAAACUACAUUACUAGAGUGCGGGAGAGGUAAGUGGAAUUCCUAGUGUAGCGGUGGAAUGCGUAGAUAUUAGGAGGAACACCAGUGGCGAAGGCGACUUACUGGACCGUAACUGACGCUGAGGCACGAAAGCGUGGGGAGCAAACA